AACGAACGCUGGCGGCAUGCCUAACACAUGCAAGUCGAACGAGACCUUCGGGCCUAGUGGCGCACGGGUGCGUAACGCGUGGGAACCUGCCCUUAGGUUCGGAAUAACUCCCCGAAAGGGGUGCUAAUACCGGAUAAUGUCUUCGGACCAAAGAUUUAUCGCCCUUGGAUGGGCCCGCGUUGGAUUAGCUAGUUGGGAGGGUAAUAGCCUACCAAGGCGACGAUCCAUAGCUGGUCUGAGAGGAUGAACAGCCACACUGGGACUACGACACGGCCCAGACUCCUACGGGAGGCAGCAGUGGGGAAUAUUGGACAAUGGGCGAGAGCCUGAUCCAGCAGUGCCGCGUGAGUGAUGAAGGCCUUAGGGUUGUAAAGCUCUUUUACCCGGGAUGAUAAUGACAGUACCGGGAGAAUAAGCACCGGCUAACUCCGUG
rnacentral:rRNA from 1 species